ensembl:lncRNA
GUACGUGUUUUGUAGCCACGAGAACAGCAAGCAGACAAUUCACUAAACUUUGUAAUUGAUCACUAAUGGAUGUGGUAAAGUUCUCCACCAGUCUGAGUCCCUAAAUCAGAGCUGGCUGUCUUUCAGAAAGGGAUGGUCAUACUCAGCUAGAAUAGAUUGGGGUGAUGCAGAGAUAAUAGGGCAAAAUAAUGGCACGGCUGCUUCUAUGCAGGAGAUCAGUUUAAAUGCUGGUCUCUUUUAAUCUUACUUUUUUUUUUUCACAAGGAAGGUGGUACAUACGCCCAUCAGCAUACAUGGUAGACUGCAGCUGGGUAUUAACUCUUUCAUUUAUGCAGGGCUGUGCAGCUCUGGGUAGAGCUGUUGUUCUGCCUCCCAAGCACCUGUUCAGGAAAAGAUCUUAAAACACAUUGUUUCAUAUUAAAAAAAAAUAUCAGUCUUUUGCUUCCAGCAUCUGGUGCAGAAGGACAGCCCUGCUCUUCCUUCGCUUACAGAGCAGUUGUGUUACACAGCUUGCUAGGUAAGGACAGGCCAGCACAAUUGUAUUGGUGCCAAGAAUAUUGCUGCUGAUUGAGAUCACUGAACCAUGUCAGAGCUCAGCUGCAUCCAUGUCAGAGAAGCAUGUCUGAGACUAGUUACAGCUAACAAGCCUCUAUUUGACAGGGAAAGUAAAAAAAAAAAGGACCAGAGUGAGAUUUAUGACAAUUUCAAGUACAGAAUAUGCAAUAUGAACAGAUGAGCCCUUAUAAUGUUAAGGUCCGUUUUACAUACAAAUACUUUCUGUGGCUAGAAAAAGAGAAAUUCAGAAAAUAAUAGAAAGAGAUACAACAAACCCUUCUUCAAGUAAAGUUUUUCUGCAUCUCCCAUGGGAUUCUGUUGAAUGGUUGAAGGCAAAAAAAAAAAAAAAAAGGAAGAACAGAAACUGCUUGCAACACAGAGCAAACCUUGAGUGCCAAGAACAUGCUCUGGAUUUUUGUGUAAGAUGUCUGGUUCUUAUCUCAGCCCUGAUUCAUCACAGUUUACUCUCAGAAUUAUUUGGAAUUCAAGGACCUUGCUCCUAUGGUGUUAAUGGGUUAUGUUCAGCACAGAAACCUGUGACACAAAGCAAUGUUUAAUUAUUCAGUCCAGACUGGUUUUUGUGGUUAAAUGAAAUAAAAAUAGCAAGAAGACCAAUUAUAUUGUUUUACAUGACUUACAUUUUGUAGGUGAAAUAUUUUUUCUCUUAACCAUGUAAUCCAGGACUGCACACAGGAAAGAGGAGCCACAUAAAAGAGGGGUUGGGCUGCUUGUGACAUGGAGGUUCAGCCUGCACAUGACUGAAGAGGAGAAGGAAAGCAUUGCCAUAAAAGUGACAGUAGAAGUGAAGAAUUGUGGUGGAUGUGUAAUGCACCACUGAAAGGAGAAAACAUACAAAGCUGGAAAUCUUAUCAUGUCUGGAGUCUUUCUAUUCCAAAGCAGGAUUUGAAGGGAAGAAGCUACAGCCCUUGUUGGCUCACAUCCCUUUCUUCAUAUAUGGGGAAAAAAAAUGUUGAAGCGAUAUGAUUACCAUAAUUGCUACCUCUGUUCAGAAAGACAAGGUGGUUUUCCACCCUGAAUUCAGCUCAGCCAGCCACCAUAGUACCAGUCAGGAACUAAUGCCACAAGCUGCAGCCACAAAUGUAUUGUCUCACACUUCAAAUGCACCAUACAGGAUGCUAAGGCACAUUACAGAUGCAGAAGCGCUGAAGUAUUAUGCAGCAUUCCUGUUACAAGGAAUUUGCAGGUAGCUAACCAACGAUACAGUGUCAAACAAACACUGUCAAAGGUAUGCUGCUCCAAUAGCUAGCAAAGCCAAUUUGAAAUGAUGGUUCUAAACAUGGGUUUUCUAUGAAGGCUCAGGCUUAACAUAUAAUUAUCUGAGCUCUGUUUGGAGGGCAUGCUGUGGCACUAGGUUGGAAAUAGGCAGGUCAAAGAAAUAAACAAGAUCAUUUCAAGCCAAAAUCAUCACCAAAUGCAGUCCUGCUGUGCAAAGGAGAAAUCAUAACAGGAUAAUAACUCCCAAACCUCCUCAGCUGUUGUCUAGCUGCAGCUGCCCAGGGGAUAGGCUCAAGAUAGAGCUCUCCCUGCUGCAAGAGGCACUGAAGCUCUGGUUAAGCAGGUAUCUGUGGUUUGGUAUAAAUUUUAAAGUCAAACUGGCUAAAUGACUUGCUGUAUAGGUAAAGCCUUGCAGUUUUCAUUGCUGUUCUCUUGCCUUCUCGCUCUGCUUUGUUGCAGUAACUGGUCUGCCUUGGUGGAUUUGGUUGUAAGUGGCCAUUCACAGCUGGCUCUAAUUUAAAAAUUCAAGGUGGUGGAGGGGCAGCUUUUAACCCAAAACAUUUUCUGAACUUCUUUAUUUUUUAAGAAGUCUUUCACUUGUAAGGUAUGUAAACUAAAACUGUUUGAAUGACAGAGUUUGGGAACUUUGGAAAGUUUGUGUUUAAGUUCUGUUUCACCUCUGCUUUCCUAUUCUUUUCUCCUCCUGUCUCCCUUUUGUUUUCAAUUGUAUCACUGAAAAGAGGGGCAAUGAGAGGAAAACAAAAUAAUGGAGAAAAUAAUAGAGUAUCAACGUACUACUUUUCCUUUAAAUGCAUGAGGAAGUUGUGAUUAUUUCUCAAUUUAUUUAUUUAUUUAUUUUUCCAAAACAAAGAAAAAAAUAUUAACUGUAUAGCUUUCUUUUUCACCAUGGUAUUUCAUACUGCUUACUGGUGAGAUGAUGGUUAAUAUUUAGAUAACCCAAGAAUGAGGAGACAGUGGUGUGUUCUUAGCAGAAUUAGCAUAAUGGAUGUACGAGGAGGAAAGAUAGAGUGCAGCCAUCGUGUGUUAGGCACAGAAGGGUUAUUGUCUGUGCCCCAAGAAGUAAGGAGUUGUUCUGCAAGUGAUGGUGGAGGAAAGGGAGUUUUGUACUCCCUUUGUGAUACAGAAAGAAAAGCAUUGCUGCGUAAAUGAUAGUCAAAGAGGAAAAGUAAAUUGCGUAUGACAGAGAAGAGUGGAGUAGUGUGACAUAAGUUGGAAAGUGUCCUUUGAAAGUCGAAAAGAAAAAAAAAGAGAGAGAGAAGAGGGACUGUAGUUGUGCAAGUAGGACUGGAAGGCAAGGUUUGCUAUGGGGGAAGAGUAAAAAUAAUAAUAAUAAAAAAAAAGUUGUAUGGCUAAGAAAAGAAGCACAAUUUAUUUCACAACCAAGCACUUGAAAUUUACAGGCAAAACAGUCCCCAUGCACAUGUAGUGCUGUGUCUCUGUAGUUAAAAGGAACACACCAUUUUCAGAAAUAUUUUGAGCAAUAAUUGAGUAAUGAUAUCUGAAAAGAUGCUUGCACAUAAAACCGAGAUCAGGAAGCACAAUAGGUGUACUGAGCUACUAUUCCUUAUUUUUCAUGGUUAGGAUUUCCAGUCUCCCAGCAAUAAGACAGAAGGGUCAUAACUACUUACCUAUAGAGAAGCAGUGAAAGCACAGAUGGAAGAGUUUUGUUGCUCUUGCGACAGAAAGAAGAACUGUUUGGGGCAUUUUCAGUGUCCAUGUCUACGUUCACAUUUCCACACCAUAUUCCACUUCGGCAGUCCUUCUGUAAGAUGUUAGGUAAUGGCAUGGGCUGUGGUGCACUUCAUUGGUUUUGUAUCAUGAGAAAGUAGAAAUAAGACCUUAAAAUAUUAAUUAUUUAUAUAUUUGUUAUGGCAGUACCUGGUUAAAGACUUCCAGUUAUUUGGGAAUUGGUUUGUUUUCAUACAAUGAUCCUGACACCCAGUUACUCAAACAUAUCACGCUCAAACACAGUGCAACACUUGGUACCAGGAACCACAUUUCAGAGGUGAAGCUGGGGUCAGACGCAUUCCUGCUAAUUGUACUGAUUGCAGGAGGGUUAUUCCCUGGUUGAAUUUGUUCUCUGAUGUUAAAAGGGAUAGCUGCUAAUUGCCUCUAAGGAGGACUCAGAAACAGAAAUGGGAGCUGGACAGUAACUCCCUGCCCAUGCACACACACACAGAUAAGUGUGCUAAUCUUUUGGGGGAGUGUGGUAUGUGAGGAGCAAGUGCAGGUCAAGCUAUGCAGGGGCUUGGAGUGUGAUACACAACCACUGAUGAAAAAUGUUUCUGCAUGCUCAUUUGUUUUGUAACAUUGAUAUUGACUGUGUAAAAGAAAUCUAGUAUAUUGACCUGAUUUAUUCAGAUCAGUUCUUCAAAUCAGUGAAGUGGCAUGGAUACCAGAUCAUUCCUGCAGUUCCUACAAUGUUCUGACCAGGCUCACAUUUGAAGCUUUUGCCUUUUUACAGUGUGCAUCUCCUGACCUUCAGGUACACUGCCCUGAAUGCACUGCCUUUGUGUGCUAUGAUGAUGGAGGCAGAAAAUUACCCUGAAGUUUAGCAGGCUUGGUUCACUGCUCAGCAGAGUUGGUGGAUGAUUUUCCAUUAGCUUCAAAAGUAAAGGAGCAGGGCAAAACAACUAACCCGAGUUGUUAUAAUCCUGUUUGUAGGCAAAGGAAAAUAUAGAGUGAUGCCAGCGAAGUAUCUGAAUUGGAAUGAUAAAGGCAAAUCUGGAACACCUUUGUAACUGUUACCUAGAACGUUAAAGGUUACGUAAAUAAGACUGACUUUUAAAAUGAUUUCUUAUAAAAGCUCUGCAAAAUAUCCACAAUGCCAUUUGCAAUUGUACCGCCAUAUUAGUGUGUGGUAUGAGUUCACUGCACAUUUCCCAGGUGGCAAGCAGUGACUGUGGAGCAAGUUUUGAUCUGAUACCAGGAGAAACUCGGUCUUGAUCUGAAACUUGUCAAGUUUAGGAUGAGUCAGUGUGGACUUGAACAUGAUCUCUGUAAUCAAAAUCAACAUAAUCCUUGCGAAUGAAAAAUGUGAUCAGCAACUGCAUGCUAACAGCACCUAGGGCAAGUCUUCUGGACCCGCUGGAAAGCAACCAUGGCCAGAGAAAAGUGUUUUGUGCUGGCCCCAUAGAACCUGUGGUCAGGCAGCUUAUCAUUAAGUCUCCCCCUUACCAAAACAUUGUCCCCAGGCAGAAACAGCUUUUCUGUUAGGUAAGUGUCUGACAAGGUGUUUUUGCUUGCUGAGGAGUUGAGCGUGACCUAAUUAAAGGUGAUCUAGCGGUGCAGAGUUCCCACUUGAUUUUGUUCUUCCCACAGGCUGGUAUUUUGCAACCCAAGACUUCAGCUCAAAUCCAUUGUGCAGAAAUAGUUUUGAACAUAAGGCAAGGCAGGGGAAAACAAUUUUUUCAUUAACACACCUGAGCUGUCAGAGAUUCUGUUCCCUCUGUUGAGGACGAUGAAAUUGCCAAUCCCAAAUGCUCCCUGCCCUUCUCUGAGAGAUAAGUGACUUCAUCAACACGAGCAGAACAAACAAAGAGCUCCGAACCAAGAUCUUGGCAGGUUCAAACCUUCCCAGUCCAAGAUGAGAAAACAAGGAAACACUUAGAGCAGUGACAGCAUCUGAGCCUUUUAACAAAUGAAAGGACCUACAGGCUAACGAUAAAGGCUUUAGAGCCAAUCGGCCAAGCUCAUCCCUGCUUUAAACCUGUUAUUCUUCCAAUUCAAACAACAGAAAAGGGGCAAACAAGAGAAAUCCUUGGUAGCAAAUGUGAUUAGAUGAAGCAAACAGUAAGAGCUCUGCAGUAAGUGCAGUUCAUCACACAAUUAGUUCCUUCCCAGCUUCACCAUCCAGACAUCCCUUCUCUGGCACAGUGCCAGCCAGGCAGUCAGGACUGAGCUGGGGGAUUAGAAAGUCAUGGUAGAUAUUUUUCUUAAAUUUGAGGGGGAGGGGGAAAGAGAAAAAAGGGAUUUCAGUGCUAUCAUUUCAAUAUUUAUUUUCUCUUCUAUAAUUUUAGAAAGCAUAGAGAGAACAGAGCUAUAAACAAUAUCAUUUAAAACAUGGGCCACAUUACUGCAGGUGCUUAUGAAACAGAAGCAGAGGUGACGUUUUAUGUAAUAUAUGUCUGUUCAGUUGGAGCAUUGGUUUGUUCUGGCUUUUUCUGUUUUUCUUUUUUAGGCAGUUGGAGUAGAGGAAUGAAAAUUAACCAGCGUUUCUCAAAAACAGUGGUUUGAUCAAAAAACAAGGUAAGAAAUCAUUUAAAUUCUUUGGAAAAACUUGAGUACACGCAUAACAUACCUCAUAGCUCUCCUAGAACAGUACAGAAGGAAUCUCCUUGUAGCAACAUUUUGGGAUUAAGUGAGCUACUUUGCCCAAGACAUCAUUUAAAGUACUUUCUUAUUUAACGCAACUUUUGUUAUUGUUCACCUAAGAAAUCCUACUCUGCAACUUUCUAGUGUAAAAUACCUGUGACAUUAGGGGGAUUUACACUGAGGGUGAAUUUGCGCUCUUCCCAUUUUCUUCACUUUAUUUGCCUUGGAAAGCAGAAUCACUCUUGAUUACUUAUUUAUCAGUGAUAACAAUAUGGCGCCACUUUGAAAAAAAGACAUUAAAAGCUGAAUGGCAAAUGUUCCUGCUCAAGUCUACACCUACCCACACAAAGCAGUACAACAGCCAUGAUUAUUUAAAUAGGUUGGAAUACAAUGAUCCAGCCUGCAACUCAGCUGAAUUAAAAAUAAAAAGUGGCAUUUGCAUAUUGAUACCUACUAUCUCCACUUGAGUUCAUGCAGUGGAACUGCUGUCAACUCACGUUUCAGAUAUUGAAGUACUUCUGGAAAUAACAAGACUUGGUACCUGGCCUUUGGCUUCAGUGGGAUGGCUCCUGGCUCUUUAGAGGUCAGACACUCACUCUGCCUUGUGGCAGUAUUUUGUUCCUUUGUUCAAAACAAAGGUGGUUUGGUGUGUGUUUGUUUGUUUAAUAAGAGAAAGUGUUUUGUUCAACAAGUAUGUCUGCAGAUUUACAAAGUGCCUUUCCAGCAUUGUGAAGAUGCUGUUCAAGUCAUCUGUCCUCAAAUCUAAAAAAUAUUUAAGGAUAUGUUUAACUUACUGGAAGAAAUGGACCUACCCCUUAAAACUAAACCAGUGUUCCGUGUGACACUGAUGAUUUUCAAAUUACAGCUGAUAAAAAUAUGGUUGUAACUUAUUUUUAAGGACUUAUGUGUACUUAUGUUCUUACGUUUAAUAAUAGAUUCUCACACUUUGAUGCCUUUUGACCAGCUAAACUGUAACCAAAUCCACAGGGAGCUGGGGCUCUUCACAACACUUCUGACCCAGAAUCCAUCAAGUCUCAUGAUUUACUCUGGACUUAUACCCAUUAGUGUAAAACAUAUACUAAAACAUUAAUUAGUGCCAGUUAGGAUGUUGAUUAUUUUAUCACUUAAAAUACGAUGGAGCUUUUUCUUCCAUUUGCAAUUAUAAAAAUCUAUUGUUUUCCAUAUGUCCUCAAUGAAGCGUAUAUGCAACUUCUAACACAAUUCCCAUUUUCUGUGAAAAAUACAAUUUUAUAUUUUUACAAAGAAUUCUGCAUACUUGAAAAGUAUUUUCUUUAGGAAAAUUCUUACAAUGGAAAUGUUAUGGCCUGCUCUCAGCCUAACUCAUAAUUCAUAUAAAUCAGACACUGCUUAGCAGAUGUUCAGGAAGGAGCAAGGCAGUGAAAAACCUAAAUCCCAUGUGGUUACACUUGAGAGUCUUGGUGCAAAACCAGGCAGGAUGGGACAGCAGCUAAGGUGGUACAAGAGCUGGGGAAGUUGUGGUUUUGUUGUUGUUGUUUUGUUUUGUUUUUGUUUUUCAUUCAGUAGUGCAGUAGUUUUUGUUUCAAAUAGGAAAAAAAAAAGGGGGGGGGGGGAGGGAGGAGUGUGGAAAGGGAGGAAAUAAUUUCAGACCAAAUAAAAACAGCAUAAAUAUCACUCUAAGGGAAACAUGUCUGAGUGCUCCUCCCCCUGGCUGUGGUGAAGUCUAACUAUUUUUUAAAUGGAAAGUGAAAGAUUUGAAACUUUAGAACGUGUUGGGCUGUACAGCUAUAACUACUCAAGAAGUUUGAUUUGGAUUUGGCAAAAUCUCUGUGGCUCUGAAACUGCUGUUUGCAGUGAAUAAAUGAUUGAAUGGGAAAAAAUGUGAACCAGAGGAAGACUUUAACAUUUGGGCUCCAGGGCAGGUUUGUUCUACCCCAGGGCAAGUCACCCCAACCAGGUCCUGACAUGUAUUUGCUUCUUCUGGAAAAGUAGUUAUUUAGAGAUAACAGGCACAGUGUCUCUGUAUUAAUUCUACAAUUGCAUCACUGGAUAAAGAUAUGAAUUAAUAUAGAGUGAAUUAAUAAUUAGAAUGCAGGUGAAUUAAUAUAGAAGCCCAACUCUACAGAGCAGAGCCCAGUACUUUCUCCACUGGAGCAUCUGUAGGCAAAAUCUGAUGCUGUUUGCAUGUAAACAAGCACCCUUCUUUCCUUCCCAAAAAUGUAGAAUUUCCUGUGCAAUGAUGAAAAUCAAUAUUUUCCUCUGCAGUAUCCCAUCUGCUUUCAAUUUUCUAGAAGCAAGGAGGGAUGCAGAGUAUUCGAUCUGCUCUCCUCUGUAACCUUGCUUUGCACUGCUGCAGGCUGGUGCUGGAGAAGCCUCUCCCCCACAGGGAUGUGGAUGGAUGGAUGUGUGCCUCUUCUGCAGCAGCCAGCUCUGAGUGCUCUGCAGCUCAUCACAGCACUGGUGCUGUGGACAGUCGCCUGAGCUGCCUUUCUGCCAUCAAUCUCCCUCCUUCCCUCUCCUUUCCCUGUGCUAUAGAGUGCUCACUUGCCUCACUGGACGCAUCCCUUCCAUGGCAUGCUGUGACUGUGGCUGCUGGCACGGAGGGAGUGGUAGGUUGGUUUUAUAUCAUGGUUUUUCAGUGAAUGCAAGUGAUUAAAAUAAGAGAAAAAAAGCUAAACAAAAGGCUGUGUCUGCUGCUGAAGCUGUUCCACAGAGCAAGUGCAUCUGCUUUUUCUCACCUCUGAAGCAAAUCAAUAUGGCUUUAAAUGAUUAUCCCCGAUGCCUAGAUCUCUUACAUCACGCUGCUGUUAUCCCAGACACACUACUGCCUGGUCAUUCCUACCUUUUCCAUUCAGUCUCUCUCCCUUGGCUGCUUCUCUUUGCCUUCUUCCAAACACACACACAAAAUGCUCACUGGAGCAGCUCAGCUUUGCUCAGGCAUUGUUUCCUUCUGCAGACAAACCUGCAUUGCCCCUCUCUCACAGCCACACACACACUCACCGCAGUGCCUCUGCUCGCUGCCUGCCGGUACCUCCAUCUCUCGUGCAUAAGCACACACUGCCUGGCUGAGUGCUGCCUGAGCAGCAUCUGCUUAUCAGGAGCUUUUCUCCUGAUGCUGCAGUUAGUGGGGAAGGGCUCGUGUUUCUCUGCACCUCUGUCUGCUAAAGAUAUUCAAACUAAAAUAAGAAAAACAUUUUGAGAAUGAAAUAAUCUUCUCAGCUCCAAUCUUCUCCUUCUCACAUACACCCCAUCCCCACUGGGACAGGGAUGCUUGAGUGAAAACCUGUCACCAGUGCUAAAAAUAAAAGACCUCCAUGCAGAUAAACCCAUGCUUUGGGGACUGCCCCAUUUUUCUAGAUCCUGCCUAAUCUUGUAUUUGGAUUUUUCAGAACACAAGGUGUUUCCUGGUGGUAUAAAAAGCCCUCAGAAAUGCUUAUGCAUCAUCUGGGUACACUGACGUGUGUAUGAGCAAUGAGCACAGAGAAUCCAGCCCUCCAUCAGCACAGGAGUGCCCUUAACGCCCUUAUCCCUUCAGUGGCGCACAGAAACAAAUUAGCUGCUUGUUCCAUGCAGGACUUCAGCUUACAAAUCUAAACGCUUUUGCCAGCAUAAUCACUCUGUUUCUUAUUUAUUUAUUUUACCGUGUAUUUUUUCCUCACUAAUUUUUGCAUGUUGUUAUGCCUUUUUGUGCCUAGUCACCCACUUACAGCACCUAGGAGAUCAUUAUUUGCUUCUGAUUAGCACAGUGCUUUGGAGUGGCGUGCUGGAGGCAAAAAAAAUUAGAAUGUAUCAAAAUGCAAAUAUGCCCCCAUUGACCUCUGGAAAAUGUGUUCAAUUACAAAGUACUUUCAAAGAAAGCUAGAAAGGAAGAGGAGAGAGGCCAUGAGCUUGUAGAGGCCUACAAUAUUAAAAAAUAAUAGCAAAUUGCUGCUUAGAAGCUUACAUUGUGAGCAGUGCAAAAAGGUUUUUUUCCUUUAAAGUAGGAGUGAAGGGCCAAGGCUAUAAUACUCCAGCCCAUUUUCUGUAUCACUUUGCUUACUUUGCUAGAACUGCUGAAGUGAAUGGGGUUGCUUGUAGUGUAUAUUUUCCAAUCAUCUGCCAAGAUUCAAAUAUGUAGUCCGAUAUAUGGCAGUCACCCAGAAUGAGAGACACAGAAAUUAUUCACGAUCCUUCUUCCAAUGUGAAAGACUCCUUCUGUAACCUCAGCUUUAUGACACUGCAUUCAAGAAGUAAAUGUUUUUCUCCAAGAAAAGUGAGAGGAGGCCAAAUUUUCUUGGAGAAAAUAACGAUAGCAUUAAGACAGGGAUAUCCCAGUAGUGAGAUAUGCCUGAGAAGUGCACUGAAGAAAAAGAUGCAGUGCUAUGGAAGUUAUUUGAGCUGCUACUUUUUUACUUCUACCAGUGAGAGUAAAUACAUUCUUAAACUAGAGAAGACUGCAGUUUAAUGUUGGGUAAUGCUGGGAAAAUAACAUAUCCUCCACUCAAAAGAUUGAACAGGCUGCCCAGGGAGUCACCAUCUCCAGAGGUUUUCAAGAUAAGGGUGGAUACUGCACUGAGUAACAUAGUCUAGGGUGGUCACAGGCAUGGGUUGAUGACUGAACUACAUGAUCUUAGACAUCUUUCCAACCAUAAUGGUUGUAUGAUUCUAUGAAUCUCAUGGUGUGGCCUCAUCUUUAUUCUCCACAAUGCUCUUCUGCAAAUAUUUGUUUCUCUGGAGACAUAAAUUCUCUCUAAUACUUUCAUAGAUCCAAAAAUGGUUGUGUCCCCUCUUAGCAAGAUAAACACUUCAAAAUAACUUAUCUUAUCCAAGCAAGAGUUUGCAUGAACGUUUGAUACUAGUUUAGUGUUCACAUUAGCACUACUGCUGCAACGAGGGAAGUCUCAGAGGCAUUCUUAGAGCAGUGCUCUCACUGUGUUCAGUGUCUGUGAAUGGAAAGAAGCCACAAGGAGAAGCACUAUGGCCUCUGACUGCACCCAGCUGCACGUGGCUUCACCAUUUGGGCCUGGCUUUGCCUGAAUCCAUCAUGAGGUCAGCAAGUAGGACUGCAAGAAGAUUUUGUUGAACCUGAACUUCUCAAUAGUGGAAAAAGCUCCUCCCCACUGGAUCACAGACGUACAAAAGCAGAGUGGUUUUAUUGCCUUAUCUCCUCAACAGGCAGACAUUCUUUCUCCUACAGAUCUCCAUCAUGGUAUGUUUUAACUUAGUACAAAAGAAGAUCAUCUGAGGAGUAAGGUGCCUGAUGGGGAAGAAGAGAUGCUUGUGUCCAGUUUCCAUGAUCCUGCUGACACUGGAGAUACCUGCUGUACAGGCUUUUUUACCUCACCUUGUUUGGUAUGUCCAAGCUCCCCAUUCCAUGACAGAGCCAAGCAGCUUCAGCCAGGCAUGAGGACCUUCGUACAUGAAAAGCAGUGAAGAGCCAUAUCCCUAAAGCAUGCAACUCUUGUAUAUGACAAAAGAUAAUGGGUGGAUACCAAGAAUUGAAGGUAACAGAAAGAAAGAGAGGACAUAUUUCCACAGCUUGGCAAAAGCAGUCUCCAAAGUCCUCAAACAGCUGUGGAAAAAUAGUGAAAGGAGAGCAAAUAGCCUGUUUGUCCUCUAUCUCAUGGACACAGUGCCUUGUGAGCCCUGGAGGGUAUCUGCUCAUAUCCAAGCUGUGAAAGCAGUUGCUGUGCCUGCCACAUCACAGCUUCAUAGACACACCAAUGCUUGCAGUACAGUCAAAAUAUGCUUUAAAGCCCAUUUCAGCAGCAAGCUCUCUGGAUUCUGUGCCAGGAAAUGUUAAUUACUGUGGUGCAGUGUUCUGUUUUCUGUGGUGCAAUAACAAUUAAUUUACACCAUUUGGAAAAACACUUUUUUAUUAAAAAUCAAUAGAAGCAAAUCAAUGCAAUGUAAAGCAUACAAUACCAAAAUGAAAAGCUCUUGUUUUUAUACUUGGGCAUCCUUAAUAAAAUUGCACUGUAGAUUCAGGCAGUUUGUCUAUUGUAAUCUAAUGAGAAGCUGUCAAGCUUCUUUUAAGCGUUCUGGAAAUUACCAUGUAUUGGGGCAGCCAUUUUUAGUCAAAGAAUUCAAUAAUUAACCCCCAAGUUGUAAGUCAAUAUGAUGAUGGUGCAGGUGCCGCUGCAUUUGUCUCUCUGCACUGCAUCACCUAUGCACCUGACAAUCUGUGGGACCCAUUUUGAAUCGAGAUGGAGGUUAAUUUUUAUUUAUAGUUAUAAUUAGAAAAACACUAGCUGUAAUGAAAACUGCUCCACCGCUGGAACAUAUCACCACAGAGUAAAUUCCACAGCAAUUUUUGCAUUUUAAUAGGUCAGAGAGUAACACAAAUGAAUUGCUUCUUCCUGGGGGAACUUGUUUAUUCUUUGGAAUUUAAUGAUUUACUGGAACACUGAUCUCAAAGAAAAAAAUCCCACAGUUGUUUUUCUACCAUUGCCUCAACUGCACAAGGUGCUGCAGACCCUGGGAAGGCAGCUCACACCUGUAAUUGUACAGCUCCUGAGGCUCCCCUGCACAAGGUACUGGGGCCUACCUGCCAGCUCCUCAGCACCCUGCUGCACAUGGCACAGGAGCUCAGGGACUUCUCCAGGAUGAUACAGCUCCACCACAGAAGUGCUCCCUCAGCCCACAGCAGGAUGCAUCCAGCUGCUACAGUAAGGAAUGCUUUACCCUUUAGGCACAAGCUGCUGUUCCCCUCCCCAUGGUCCACCGCCAUGGUCUGCACAUUUAUGAGUGCAGCCACAACUACAGCUGGUCUUCUCUGACUCAACCAGAGCAGGAAGAAGCAGGACAAUUUUAAUCCAAUGGAAGCACUCAUGGAAGCAGCCAAGGACAUAUCACUCUGGAAGGGCAGAUCAUCAUUUCCUUUCUCCAGACAGGACUACUAUGGGUUUGAGUUUGACUAUUUUAACGGUGAAUUGAUUUUUUGUGUGAAGUGAUCUAGGUAUGACAGUAGAUUUUUCAAAGUCAUUCGGUAGCUCAUGACAGUGGGCUGGGAGGACAGGUGUCAUCAAAUAAAAAGGUAUGAACUGGACUAAUUUAAAAGGAACGCAGAGGUUGUACAGAACUGCCAGAAACUCCAUCGCUUUGGUACAGCGAUGCAAGGAAAAUAGAAACAGUAACAAAAGAAGACUUUGAAAUUCAAAGUUUUACAAAACAGGAUAUUUGAUUUGGAUUGUAUCUAGAAAUUGCAAAAGCUUGGCAAAGCAUCACUGAGGUACUGCAAAAUAUUUGUAAUCUGCAUAAUCUUUAUAUGCCACAGUCUUUCCCUCUACUGUGGGAGCUGUGAUGUAACCAUGAAUUUGUUAUUGGGGUGGCUGACACUAAUGUUCUUACAUAUUAAAAAAAAAAAAAAA